GGGGAUUUAGCUUAGCGGUAUAAGUACCUGCUUGCAAGCAGGCGGUCGUGAGUUCAAUCCCCG
rnacentral:tRNA from 1 species